GACGAACGCUGGCGGUGUGCUUAACACAUGCGAGUCGAACGGAAAGGCCUCUUUCGGGGGGUACUCGAGUGGCGAACGGGUGAGUAACACGUGAGUAACCUGCCCUUGACUUUGGGAUAACUUCAGGAAACUGGGGCUAAUACCGGAUAGGAGCUCCUGCUGCAUGGUGGGGGUUGGAAAGUUUCGGCGGUUGGGGAUGGACUCGCGGCUUAUCAGCUUGUUGGUGGGGUAGUGGCUUACCAAGGCUUUGACGGGUAGCCGGCCUGAGAGGGUGACCGGCCACAUUGGGACUGAGAUACGGCCCAGACUCCUACGGGAGGCAGCAGUGGGGAAUAUUGCACAAUGGGUGGAAGCCUGAUGCAGCAACGCCGUGUGCGGGAUGACGGCCUUCGGGUUGUAAACCGCUUUCGCUCAUGACGAAGCUUUGUGUGACGGUAGUGGGUAAAGAAGCACCGGCUAACUACGUG
rnacentral:rRNA from 1 species